AGUCUAUUCAGAGGAACCUGUCUUAUAAACGAUAAUCCACGAUGGACCUUACUUAAAUUUGUAUAGUUUAUAUACCGUCGUUAUUAGAAUAUUUUAAAAGAAUAAUAAUUUUCAUAAUUUUUAAAUUGAAAAUAUAUCAGAUCAAGGUGUAGCUAAUAUUUAAGUAAAGAUGGGUUACAAUAAAUUUAUUUAUACGAAUAUAAAUAUGAAAAAUUUAUUGAAGGAGGAUUUGAUAGUAAAAUUAUAAAGAUUAAUAAUUUGAUUUUAGCUCUAAAAUAUGUACAUAUCGCCCGUCGCUCUUAUUAUUAAGGUAAGAUAAGUCGUAACAUAGUAGAUGUACUGGAAAGUGUAUCUAGAAUGCAAUUUAAAGCUUUUUUAGUAAAGUAUUUCAUUUACAUUGAAAUGAUUAUUGUGCAAUUCAAUAUAAAUUGAUUAAAUUUUAUUUAUUAAUUUGUUUAUAAUUUUAUAUAAUUUAUUAAAAAUAAUUAUA
rnacentral:rRNA from 1 species